UCCUGAUACUGGGUAUACACAUCAGCAGCAUGGUGAUGCUAACAUCUACGAUACGAUCAAUCCCUCAGACAACAAUGAUAAUGAUGCUGCUGGUGCUUCUGCUGCUGGACCACGUCAUGUGACUUACGUUCAGAUUCA